rnacentral:lncRNA from 1 species
AUGGAGACAUUGAGGCUCCAGGAGAGGAAGCCACUGCCCCAGGAGCCUAGAUCUGUUGGUUCUUUGCCUCUGCAUCACCUAGUUUCAAAUGACCCAAGCCACCUCCUGCCUCCUGGCCCUUGGGCAUCUUCCCCUCCCCUGCUUCAGACCCUGGACCCUUCAGCCGCAGAGCCCAGGGGUCCCUGUCCCUGUCCCUGUCCUGGGACACCACGCUCAGAUACCCUGGGUGGCUAAAGGAAGCAGGGCUUGGGGCUUUCUGCAGGAACAGCCAUCACACCCCAGAGCUUUCCUAGAGUGGUCGUAGGCUGAGUAGUACCUCCUCCACACCCACCCAAACACACACACCCAAACAGGCUGCAGGGUGUGGUUUGAUAAAAGGAAGACAUGGCUCAAGGUUCCAGGCUCCUGCUGGUUUUUCAAGGCAAUGAGCUGCCCCUCCCUAUGAGUAUGCCAGCGCAAGCUCAUGACCCUGUCCAGCCACAGUGCCCCAGGGGUCCCUGCAGCCACCUUGCUUCUUGCCCAGAACUCAAUUCCAGCCUUCGAGGGACUCAGAGAGCGGGGAUGUUUCUCAGGGAUCUCCCAGUGGAAAUGCUGUCAGCAGCGGCCAUCAGUGGAUGAGGCUCCCCUCCCCCGGGGCUUCCUACUUCAGACUCAGACUCCCAUGUGGCAGAGGAGGGGGGUCCCCUCCCCACUGCACAGUGAGCCACACCGGGCCAUGGACUUGAGGUUCAAGCCCCUUCCCACCCAUCCCCUGCUUGACUGACACCCUUCUGCCUGGAGCAUCAUGGGAAUUAAGGAGUAGGCCACUGCCCUGCCCCUCAGAGAAGAGAGGGGAUCCGAAGAGGAGCUAAGGGCUCCCCGAGGAAAGGUGGGGGAACUCCAUCUCCAAACUUGGCAUGGUCUCAGCGUUGUCGGAGGACUUUUGAGGGAAGGAGGAGGAGGAGAAGGACGACGACGACGACGACAACGACGACGACAACGCAGGGUGUGUGCUGCGCGUGGCCCUUGCCUCUGCCCUGCCACUGGCUCCUGUUGCAGUGCCUGGUCUCCCCGCCUGCCUCUCCCAUCCCUACCCGCAGCCCCAUCCUGCCCAUCUGCGAGGAGCUGUCCCAUAUGUGUGUCCCCUCCACCCGAUCCCAUUCUCCUUCCCUGUUGGUCAGGGCCCAGGUGCUCCUGCUGCCCCAAGGAGCCCGGCGGCAGGAGGCAUGGACGUGGGGGCUGUCGGGCUGGCCCGAGUGCUCUGGCGAGCAGGCCUCGGGGUGGGAAGACUUCUCGCUGCUGCCCCUGAGAGGGCCCCGUCUUGGUGAGUGCAGCCUGGAGAUGAAGCUGAGGACAGAGGCCACACUGCACCCCAGCCCAGCCCUGCCCUGCACUGCACCCCUCACACCUUGCCCUCCUUGACAUCCGCCUCUUUGGGGAACCCUCCCUGGCCAGGUUCCCACCAGAAGACCCCCAAGGCCAGGCCUCAGGCCUCCCCUUCAAGACUGACAGUCUCCCAGGGCCUGUGACAGCCAAGCCCCACGACGCUGUGGCCUCUCAUUGCCCACAACUGCACCAAGAGUUCAGCUCUCAGAGGUGGCCAGGUGCCCCCUGCUAGGGGGCCCUCCCACGGCCCUAGUGCCCGGAACAGUCCCUUUCUCCAAAAUAAAUAUUUUUGUUAGACCAGCAACAGCUGUGGCACUUUCUGCAGUCCCCAAAGAGAAGACAGGCACAACCCCAGGCACCCUCAGAUGCCUUAGUUCAGUUCAUCUUCACAGCAGCCUGAAAG